rnacentral:rRNA from 1 species
UAGGCUGCAACUCGCCUACAUGAAGUCGGAAUUGCUAGUAAUCGCGGAUCAGAAUGCCGCGGUGAAUACGUUCCCGGGUCUUGUACACACCGCCCGUCACACCAUGGGAGUCGGAAAUGCCCGAAGUCUGUGACCCAACCUUAGGGGAGGGAGCCAGCCGAAGGCAGGUCGGAUGACUGGGGUGAAGUCGUAACAAGGUAAC